rnacentral:rRNA from 1 species
AUCGUAACUCCUACGGGAGGCAGCAGUGGGGAAUUUUGGACAAUGGGCGAAAGCCUGAUCCAGCCAUGCCGCGUGUGUGAAGAAGGUCUUCGGAUUGUAAAGCACGUUAAGUUGGGAGGAAGGGCAGUAAGCUAAUACCUUGCUGUCUUGACGUUACCGACAGAAUAAGCACCGGCUAACUCUGUGCCAGCAGCCGCGGUAAUACAGAGGGUGCAAGCGUUAAUCGGAAUUACUGGGCGUAAAGCGCGCGUAGGUGGUUUGUUAAGUUGGAUGUGAAAGCACCGGGCUCAACCUGGGAACUGCAUCCAAAACUGGCAAGCUAGAGUAUGGUAGAGGGUGGUGGAAUUUCCUGUGUAGCGGUGAAAUGCGUAGAUAUAGGAAGGAACACCAGUAGCGAAGGCGACCACCUGGACUGAUACUGACACUGAGGUGCGAAAGCGUGGGGAGCAAACAGGAUUAGAAACCCUAGUAGUCCUAGAGC